GGUUAAGCGACUAAGCGUACACGGUGGAUGCCCUGGCAGUCAGAGGCGAUGAAGGACGUGCUAAUCUGCGAUAAGCGCCGGUAAGGUGAUAUGAACCGUUAUAACCGACGAUUUCCGAAUGGGGAAACCCAGUGUGACUCGUCACACUAUCAUUAACUGAAUCCAUAGGUUAAUGAGGCGAACCGGGGGAACUGAAACAUCUAAGUACCCCGAGGAAAAGAAAUCAACCGAGAUUCCCCCAGUAGCGGCGAGCGAACGGGGAGGAGCCCAGAGCCUGAAUCAGCAUGUGUGUUAGUGGAAGCGUCUGGAAAGGCGCGCGAUACAGGGUGACAGCCCCGUACACAAAAGCGCAUGUGCUGUGAGCUCGAUGAGUAGGGCGGGACACGUGGUAUCCUGUCUGAAUAUGGGGGGACCAUCCUCCAAGGCUAAAUACUCCUGACUGACCGAUAGUGAACCAGUACCGUGAGGGAAAGGCGAAAAGAACCCCGGCGAGGGGAGUGAAAAAGAACCUGAAACCGUGUACGUACAAGCAGUGGGAGCACCUUCGGGUGUGACUGCGUACCUUUUGUAUAAUGGGUCAGCGACUUAUAUUCUGUAGCAAGGUUAACCGAAUAGGGGAGCCGUAGGGAAACCGAGUCUUAACCGGGCGUUAAGUUGCAGGGUAUAGACCCGAAACCCGGUGAUCUAGCCAUGGGCAGGUUGAAGGUUGGGUAACACUAACUGGAGGACCGAACCGACUAAUGUUGAAAAAUUAGCGGAUGACCUGUGGCUGGGGGUGAAAGGCCAAUCAAACCGGGAGAUAGCUGGUUCUCCCCGAAAGCUAUUUAGGUAGCGCCUCGUGAAUUCAUCUCCGGGGGUAGAGCACUGUUUCGGCUAGGGGGCCAUCCCGGCUUACCAACCCGAUGCAAACUGCGAAUACCGGAGAAUGUUAUCACGGGAGACACACGGCGGGUGCUAACGUCCGUCGUGAAGAGGGAAACAACCCAGACCGCCAGCUAAGGUCCCAAAGUCAUGGUUAAGUGGGAAACGAUGUGGGAAGGCUCAGACAGCCAGGAUGUUGGCUUAGAAGCAGCCAUCAUUUAAAGAAAGCGUAAUAGCUCACUGGUCGAGUCGGCCUGCGCGGAAGAUGUAACGGGGCUAAACCAUGCACCGAAGCUGCGGCAGCGACACUGUGUGUUGUUGGGUAGGGGAGCGUUCUGUAAGCCUGUGAAGGUGUGCUGU
rnacentral:rRNA from 1 species